UAUGGAGAGUUUGAUCCUGGCUCAGGACGAACGCUGGCGGCGUGCUUAAUACAUGCAAGUCAACUUGAAGUUCGGUAGCAAUAUUGAACGGAUGGUGGCGCACGGGUGCGUAACGCGUAGGUAAUCUGCCCUAAGGCCUGACAUAACUCCGGGAAACCGGGGCUAAUAUCAGAUGAUGCAGCGGCAUCUCAUGAUGACAGUUGUUAAAGCUUCGGCACCUUAGGAUGAGCCUGCGUCCCAUUAGGUAGUUGGUAGGGUAAUGGCCUACCAAGCCCGCGAUGGGUAGCUGGUCUGAGAGGACGAUCAGCCACACUGGAACUGAGAC
rnacentral:rRNA from 1 species